AUUGGGUAGGGGAGCGUUCUGUAAGCCGUUGAAGGUGUGCUGUAAGGCAUGCUGGAGGUAUCAGAAGUGCGAAUGCUGACAUGAGUAACGAUAAAGGGAGUGAAAAACUCCCUCGCCGGAAGAUCAAGGGUUCCUGUCCAACGUUAAUCGGGGCAGGGUAAGUCGACCCCUAAGGCGAGGCCGAAAGGCGUAGUCGAUGGGAAACGGGUUAAUAUUCCCGUACUUCUUAUAAUUGCGAUGGAGGGACGGAGAAGGCUAGGUGAGCCUGGCGACGGUUGUCCAGGUCCAAGUAUGUAGGCUGAUGGUUUAGGCAAAUCCGGACCAUCUUAAGGCUGAGAUACGAUGUCGAGUCACUACGGUGAUGAAGUCAUUGAUGCCAUGCUUCCGGGAAAAGCUUCUAAGCUUCAGAUUAUAAGGAAUCGUACCCCAAACCGACACAGGUGAUCAGGUAGAGAAUACCAAG
rnacentral:rRNA from 1 species